rnacentral:rRNA from 1 species
UACGGAGGAUCCUAGUGUUAUCCGGAUUUAUUGGGUUUAAAGGGAGCGUAGGCGGGAGGUCAAGUCAGCUAUGAAAUGUAUCUGCUUAACGGGUACACUGCAGUUGAAACUGGUUUUCUUGAGUGCGUAAGAGGCAGGCGGAAUUCGUUGUGUAGCGGUGAAAUGCUUAGAUAUGACGAGGAACUCCUAUUGCGAAGGCAGCUUGCUGGGUCGUUACUGACGCUGAUGCUCGAAGGUGCGGGGAUCAAACAGGAUUAGAUA